UACGUAGGUGGCAAGCGUUAUCCGGAAUUAUUGGGCGUAAAGAGCGCGCAGGUGGUUGAUUAAGUCUGAUGUGAAAGCCCACGGCUUAACCGUGGAGGGUCAUUGGAAACUGGUCGACUUGAGUGAAGGAGAGGAGAGUGGAAUUCCUAGUGUAGCGGUGAAAUGCGUAGAUAUUAGGAGGAACACCAGUUGCGAAGGCGGCUCUCUGGACUGUAACUGACACUGAGGCACGAAAGCGUGGGGAGCAAACAGGAUUAGAUACCCGGGUAGU
rnacentral:rRNA from 1 species